rnacentral:rRNA from 1 species
GAUGAACGCUGGCGGCGUGCUUAACACAUGCAAGUCGAACGAAGCAUUUAAGACAGAUUACUUCGGUUUGAAGUUUUUUAUGACUGAGUGGCGGACGGGUGAGUAACGCGUGGGUAACCUGCCUCAUACAGGGGGAUAGCAGCUGGAAACGGCUGGUAAUACCGCAUAAGCGCACAGUACCACAUGGUACAGUGUGAAAAACUCCGGUGGUAUGAGAUGGGCCCGCGUCUGAUUAGCUGGUUGGCGGGGUAACGGCCCACCAAGGCGACGAUCAGUAGCCGACCUGAGAGGGUGACCGGCCACAUUGGGACUGGGACACGGCCCAGACUCCUACGGGAGGCAGCAGUGGGGAAUAUUGCACAAUGGAGGAAACUCUGAUGCAGCGACGCCGCGUGAGUGAAGAAGUAGUUUGCUAUGUAAAGCUCUAUCAGCAGGGAAGAUAGUGACGGUACCUGACUAAGAAGCUCCGGCUAAAUACGUGCCAGCAGCCGCCGUAA